CAGUGGCAAGUUACUACACAAUUCAAUCCUUCGAUCAUCCCUGCACCCUAAAUAUGUUCAUGAGUAUGGAAUAAUGUCAAACUCAAACACAUAUUUAUAUUGAUUCUCAAUUAACCAUUGAUAACUCCAAUGAAGAAGUAUUAGAAACUCUUUCUAAUCUCCUUUCUGCUUUUGGCCAAAAGAUUUUUUUCAAGUCAUCUG
rnacentral:lncRNA from 1 species